CGUUGGAAACGACGUCUAAUACUGGAUAUGACUGCCGGCCGCAUGGUCUGGUGGUGGAAAGAUUUUUUUGGUUGGGGAUGGACUCGCGGCCUAUCAGCUUGUUGGUGAGGUAAUGGCUCANCAAGGCGACGANNGGUAGCCGGCCUGAGAGGGUGACCGGCCACACUGGGACUGAGACACGGCCCAAACUCCUACGGGAGGCAGCAGUGGNNNAUAUUGCANNNUGGGCGAAAGCCUGAUGCAGCAACGCCGCGUGAGGGAUGACGGCCUUCGGGUUGUAAACCUCUUUUAGUAGGGAAGAAGCGUAAGUGACGGUACCUGCAGAAAAAGCACCGGCUAACUACGUGCCAGCAGCCGCNNNAAUACGUAGGGUGCAAGCGUUGUCCGGAAUUAUUGGGCGUAAAGAGCUCGUAGGCGGUUUGUCGCGUCUGCUGUGAAAUCCCGAGGCUCAACCUCGGGCUUGCA
rnacentral:rRNA from 1 species